rnacentral:rRNA from 1 species
GGACGGGUGAGUAACGCGUGGGAACGUGCCCUUCUCUGCAGGAUAGCCACUGGAAACGGUGAGUAAUACUGCAUACGCCCUUCGGGGGAAAGAUUUAUCGGAGAAGGAUCGGCCCGCGUUAGAUUAGGUAGUUGGUGGGGUAACGGCCUACCAAGCCUACGAUCUAUAGCUGGUUUGAGAGGAUGAUCAGCCACACUGGGACUGAGACACGGCCCAGACUCCUACGGGAGGCAGCAGUGGGGAAUCUUAGACAAUGGGGGCAACCCUGAUCUAGCCAUGCCGCGUGAGUGAUGAAGGCCUUAGGGUCGUAAAGCUCUUUCGCUGGGGAAGAUAAUGACGGUACCCAGUAAAGAAACCCCGGCUAACUCCGUGCCAGCAGCCGCGGUAAUACGGAGGGGGUUAGCGUUGUUCGGAAUUACUGGGCGUAAAGCGCGCGUAGGCGGAUCAGAAAGUUGGGGGUGAAAUCCCGGGGCUCAACCUCGGAACUGCCUCCAAAACUCCUGGUCUUGAGUUCGAGAGAGGUGAGUGGAACUCCGAGUGUAGAGGUGAAAUUCGUAGAUAUUCGGAAGAACACCAGUGGCGAAGGCGGCUCACUGGCUCGAUACUGACGCUGAGGUGCGAAAGUGUGGGGACAACAGGAUAGAUACCUGGUAUCCACACCGUAACGAUGAAUGCCA